GUUGUGGGGGGGGGGUAUUAAAAUUCAGGAGAUUGUGUCUGACUACUGCUUAUUUUUAGUCCUUAAAUCCUCUUCCCUUUUCUUGUUGCAUUCUUACUAACAGGGUCGCUGAAGAAGAGUAACUUUGUUCGUCUUUUACAGUGGAAUUGUAACGGAUUAUAAACAUUUUAGUGACCCAGAGUGGCUCGAGCGGGGAACAAAUGACCAAUACCGAUAAACUAUGCUAACCAUAAUGCAGAUAAUACAGUAAUAGGUAAUAUAACGAGAGCAAAAUGUGAAUUUUUAUCUAAAUGCUGCUAUACAGAGAGAUAUUUGAUCUGCAGAAAAGUGAAACAAUUUAAUCUGUCCCUCUAUAUUGAAUAAGAGUAAAUAUAAUAUUAUUGAUAUUGCAGUUAUUAUUAUUAUUAUUAUAAUAACUAUAAACAUGCUUAUAUGUCAGCUGUUUUUUUAAUCAUUAUUAUGAUUAUUAUUAUUAUGAUUAAUUUGUUUCCUUUUGUAUCCAGAGGUGAUGUUUGUAUUUCAUUGUGCUAGAAGUGGUUGUCACUACAGCAUAUAUUCCCUGAGGGAUUACAAUUACAGUACGAUGGCAGGAACUACAACCACAGAUUUGCUUGGAAAGCAGCAACAUUCCCCCGAAAAAGUGGAAAAUGGGUCUUGUAAACGGGCUCUCCGGCUCUCCUGUUCCUUCUGUUUUGUACAAGAACUCAACCAGGAGCCUGCGUUCCUUUUUGUUCCCCCCCUAUGUGAUUGAACAUGUUUCCGAACAGAACACAGACUCUGAUGAACAUCAUGGACGGGAGUGCAGUGGAUUACAGCGAAUCACUGUGUUCUCUUACACGGACGGACGCAGGAUACGAGUAAAGACUCUGAGGGCUAAUGGAAGACAGGAUUUUGAAGCGUUUGACAGCAAAGAGGUUUUGGGCAGCAGAAGGCAGCAUUACUGUUGAGCCUGAAGGUUGAUUGGCAAGCGGAGCAGCUCAUUGGCUAUUCGUGCUCACUGAUGUC
ensembl:lncRNA